GCUCAGGACGAACGCUGGCGGCGUGCCUAAUACAUGCAAGUCGAGCGGACAGAAGGGAGCUUGCUCCCGGAUGUUAGCGGCGGACGGGUGAGUAACACGUGGGUAACCUGCCUGUAAGACUGGGAUAACUCCGGGAAACCGGAGCUAAUACCGGAUAGUUCCUUGAACCGCAUGGUUCAAGGAUGAAAGACGGUUUCGGCUGUCACUUACAGAUGGACCCGCGGCGCAUUAGCUAGUUGGUGAGGUAACGGCUCACCAAGGCGACGAUGCGUAGCCGACCUGAGAGGGUGAUCGGCCACACUGGGACUGAGACACGGCCCAGACUCCUACGGGAGGCAGCAGUAGGGAAUCUUCCGCAAUGGACGAAAGUCUGACGGAGCAACGCCGCGUGAGUGAUGAAGGUUUUCGGAUCGUAAAGCUCUGUUGUUAGGGAAGAACAAGUGCAAGAGUAACUGCUUGCACCUGACG
rnacentral:rRNA from 1 species